rnacentral:rRNA from 1 species
UACGUAGGUGGCAAGCGUUGUCCGGAUUUACUGGGCGUAAAGAGCGCGCAGGCGGUCUUCCAAGUCGGAUGUGAAAGCCCCCGGCUCAACUGGGGAGGGUCAUUCGAUACUGUUCGACUCGAAGGCAGGAGAGGGAAGUGGAAUUCCGGGUGUAGUGGUGAAAUGCGUAGAUAUCCGGAGGAACACCAGUGGCGAAGGCGACUUUCUGGCCUGUUCUUGACGCUGAGGCGCGAAAGCUAGGGGAGCAAACGGG